rnacentral:lncRNA from 1 species
UUUUUUUUUGAGACGGAGUCUCCCUCUGUCGCCCAGGCUGGAGUGCAGUGGCGCGAUCUCGGCUCACGGCAAGCUCCGCCUCCCGGGUUCACGCCAUUUUCCUGCCUCAGCCUCCUGAGUAGCUGGAACUACAGGCGCCGCGCCACCACUCCCGGCUAAUUUUUUUAUUUUAUUUUAUUUUUUAUUUUUAGUAGAGACGGGGUUUCACCGUAGCCAGAAUGGUCUUGAUCUCCUGACCUCGUCAUCCGCCCGCCUCGGCCUCCCAAAGUGCUGGGCUUACAGGCGUGAGACACUGCGCCCGGCCCAUACUACUACUUUUUUAGGAGGAAAGGAGGGAAUUUUCCAUGAGUUUGAAUCCUACAAAUGCCACAAACAGCUUCUGAAGCUGAAGCCAUGACAAUGAACUUCCAUGACACAAAGAAGAUGAGGAAUUGGAAGGGAACAGUGCAGGAGAAACACAGUGACAUUGUGUCACAGUAGGUAUUUAUGCCUGCUAUCCUCAUCCGAGAUAAGGUCAAUAACUUCUGCUGGUGAAGCCCAAGUCUGCUGGGGGCUCACAGCAGUUCCAUGACUGUGUCUGCCUGGUGCUAAGAUACUGUGUGCCCGAGCCAUGCUUCCACGAAGAAGCACUCCAAAUCACACCACCUCGAGGAUGAACACACCUUGCAUGUUCCUGAACUCCCACAAUCUCUACUUCACUAUCUGAAGAGGCAAUAUUAAUUUCUUCAUUGAGCGGUGCAUUGCCGGCAGAUAUUUUGUCACUUGCUAGGAAUCCUGGAUGCAAAUGACCUGCCUCUGCAUUCAGCUCCUCUAGAAGCCAGCUGGUCCUCCAGGUAGCUCCUGUGUCCUGGCCGCCUAUAGAAUUAUUGUGCUCUUGAACUACUGCAGCCGCCGAUAAAUUGUACACAGUUACCACUUCCGGGUCAGAGCUGGUGUCAGACAUAUCAUAAUGAGCUACAACUGGAGGUCCAUCUGGUAUCUCUGCAGUGAUUGUCUUGCUGCUCCCUGAAACCUCUUCAUCAUCAUCUGAUGAG